GAUGAACGCUGGCGGCGUGCCUAAUGCAUGCAAGUCGAACGCUGGAGAUCUAGCUUGCUAGAUCGAAGGAGUGGCGAACGGGUGAGUAAUACAUAAGCAACCUACCCACGAAGACUGGGAUAAUCUCUGGAAACGGGGACUAAUACCGGAUAGGUAAUCGGAAGGCAUCUUCUGGUUAUUAAAGGUUAAAAACACUGGUGGAUGGGCUUAUGGCGCAUUAGUUAGUUGGUGAGGUAACGGCCCACCAAGACGAUGAUGCGUAGCCGGCCUGAGAGGGUGAACGGCCACAUUGGGACUGAGACACGGCCCAGACUCCUACGGGAGGCAGCAGUAGGGAAUUUUCGGCAAUGGGGGCAACCCUGACCGAGCAACGCCGCGUGAGUGAAGACGGCCUUCGGGUUGUAAAGCUCUGUUGUAAGGGAAGAACGGUAGAUAGAGAAUAUCUAAGUGACGGUACCUUACCAGAAAGCCACGGCUAACUACGUG
rnacentral:rRNA from 1 species